UUGACAAAACGGAGGAAGGUGGGAUGACGUCAAGUCAUCAUGGCCCUUAUGUCCAGGGCUACACACGUGCUACAAUGGGCGAGACAGAGCGACGCGAAGCCGCGAGGUGGAGCAAAUCGCAGAAAAUCGCCCUCAGUUCGGAUUGGAGUCUGAAACCCGACUCCAUGAAGGUGGAAUCGCUAGUAAUCGCGCAUCAGCAUGGCGCGGUGAAUACGUUCCCGGGCCUU
rnacentral:rRNA from 1 species